AUUGAACGCUGGCGGCAUGCCUUACACAUGCGAGUCGAACGGCAGCACGGGAGCAAUCCUGGUGGCGAGUGGCGAACGGGUGAGUAAUACAUCGGAACGUGCCCAGUAGUGGGGGAUAACCCGGCGAAAGCCGGACUAAUACCGCAUACGACCUACGGGUGAAAGCGGGGGAUCGCAAGACCUCGCGCUAUCGGAGCGGCCGAUGUCAGAUUAGCUAGUUGGUGGGGUAAAGGCCUACCAAGGCGACGAUCUGUAGCUGGUCUGAGAGGACGACCAGCCACACUGGGACUGAGACACGGCCCAGACUCCUACGGGAGGCAGCAGUGGGGAAUUUUGGACAAUGGGCGCAAGCCUGAUCCAGCCAUGCCGCGUGCGGGAAGAAGGCCUUCGGGUUGUAAACCGCUUUUGUCAGGGAAGAAACGCUCCGGGCUAAUACCACGGAGUAAUGACGGUACCUGAAGAAUAAGCACCGGCUAACUACGUG
rnacentral:rRNA from 1 species